CCUGGACUCACUUUGUAGACCAGGCUGGCCUCAAACUCACAGAAAUCUGCCCACCUCUGCCUCCUGAGUGCAGG
rnacentral:miRNA from 1 species